rnacentral:lncRNA from 1 species
CCGGAUUUUUGUGACAAAAAUGUCGGUUAUUGAUUUGGGGAUAUACGGCGGGUAGUCGGGCGGUCGGGGAGUGGGGCGGUCGGGCAGUGGGGCGGUCGGGCGGUCGGUCGGGCGGGCGGCAACCAAAUGUUGUCCGUGCAUUUACUCAUGAACCGUUCAUCCAAAGCUUUUAAAAUUUUAAUAUGUUGUUACUGACAACAAAAUGAAGGUCAAGUUCAAGAAUGACGAUUUUGACUUUUACCGUUCAGGAGUUAUGGUUCUUGAAAGAUUGAAAAAUGGCUUUUCCAGUCGUGUCCGUACAUUUUCGCAUGAACUGU